rnacentral:rRNA from 1 species
GAUGAACGCUGGCGGCGUGCCUAAUACAUGCAAGUCGAGCGAACAGACGAGGAGCUUGCUCCUCUGACGUUAGCGGCGGACGGGUGAGUAACACGUGGAUAACCUACCUAUAAGACUGGGAUAACUUCGGGAAACCGGAGCUAAUACCGGAUAAUAUAUUGAACCGCAUGGUUCAAUAGUGAAAGACGGUUUUGCUGUCACUUAUAGAUGUAUCCGCGCCGCAUUAGCUAGUUGGUAAGGUAACGGCUUACCAAGGCAACGAUGCGUAGCCGAACUGAGAGGGUGAUCGGCCACACUGGAACUGAGACACGGUCCAGACUCCUACGGGAGGCAGCAGUAGGGAAUCUUCCGCAAUGGGCGAAAGCCUGACGGAGCAACGCCGCGUGAGUGAUGAAGGUCUUCGGAUCGUAAAACUCUGUUAUUAGGGAAGAACAAAUGUGUAAGUAACUAUGCACGUCUUGACGGUACCUAAUCAGAAAGCCACGGCUAACUACGUG